rnacentral:lncRNA from 1 species
UUUUAUUUUUCCAGUGCAGUUUUUUCAUUUGCUUUUUCAGCUGUCCUCAGUGCACCAGUGGACAUCAUUGAAAAGAGCAGUUGUGCUGAGCCAUUAGCAAGAAACAUUUGUAAAGCAGCUCCCAAGGGAAGUGUUGAUCAGUCUUUCCACAUGUACCCAUAACAUUCAUGGAUAAACCUGCUAGAACAGUGAAAAAGCAAAUGUCUGUGUUAGAGAGAUCCUGAAUGACUCUGACACCAGUAGGGAAGUUUCUGCAUGACCUAUGGUUGUGUCCCAAGUGGUCCAGAACAUCACUGGUGCUUCAAGCUGCUCCUGUGGUUUCUCUGCAAGUGUUUACCAAGAAACUGCAUUUUGAGAUGGAAAACCAAGUCCCCUUGGUCCCACACUCACCAGUUGUUAACUGUGGUCUGUGUGGCUGGUCCAAAAUAAAACAAUGUCUCCCCCAGUUCAGAUGGAAAUUAAUCUGAGAAAAACUGAAAGACUCUACUAUCCUUUGCAGAAAUUUUAAAUAAGUGAUUUAUCAGCAUUUUAUUUUCAGAUUUGAAAGACCUAAUAAGAACAAAAUUGAUCAUCAUGGGCAAAAAGUCCUUCAUAACAAUGUUUAAUCCAUUAACCAUAAAAUUUCUCUCACACCCCCUCUGUAAGAAAAAUCAAUAUAUCAUAUAAAGAAAUAAAGAAAUGCCAAAUGUCUGCA